rnacentral:rRNA from 1 species
GAUGAACGCUGGCGGCGUGCCUAAUACAUGCAAGUCGAGCGAACAGACGAGGAGCUUGCUCCUUUGACGUUAGCGGCGGACGGGUGAGUAACACGUGGAUAACCUACCUAUAAGACUGGGAUAACUUCGGGAAACCGGAGCUAAUACCGGAUAACAUGUUGAACCGCAUGGUUCAACAGUGAAAGACGGUCUUGCUGUCACUUAUAGAUGGAUCCGCGCCGCAUUAGCUAGUUGGUAAGGUAACGGCUUACCAAGGCAACGAUGCGUAGCCGACCUGAGAGGGUGAUCGACCACACUGGAACUGAGACACGGUCCAGACUCCUACGGGAGGCAGCAGUAGGGAAUCUUCCGCAAUGGGCGAAAGCCUGACGGAGCAACGCCGCGUGAGUGAAGAAGGUCUUCGGAUCGUAAAACUCUGUUAUUAGGGAAGAACAAAUGUGUAAGUAACUAUGCACGUCUUGACGGUACCUAAUCAGAAAGCCACGGCUAACUACGUG